UACGGAGGGUGCAAGCGUUAUCCGGAUUUAUUGGGUUUAAAGGGUGCGUAGGCGGAUUUACAAGUCAGUGGUGAAAUCUCCCAGCUUAACUGGGAAACUGCCAUUGAAACUGUUUAUCUUGAGUACAUUUGAGGCGGGCGGAAUGUGUCAUGUAGAGGUGAAAUUCUUAGAUAUGACACAGAACACCAAUUGCGAAGGCAGCUCGCUAAACUGUAAACUGACGCUGAGGCACGAAAGCGUGGGGAUCAAACAGG
rnacentral:rRNA from 1 species